rnacentral:rRNA from 1 species
CGCGUGCACUGGCUCGGCUGGGCCUUUCCUUCUGGAGAACCUCAUGCCCUUUACUGGGUGUGCUGGGGAACCAGGACUUUUACUCUGAACAAAUUAGAUCGCUUAAAGAAGGCCUAUGCUCGAAUACAUUAGCAUGGAAUAAUAGAAUAGGACGUGUGGUUCUAUUUUGUUGGUUUCUAGGACCGCCGUAAUGAUUAAUAGGGACAGUCGGGGGCAUCAGUAUUCAAUUGUCAGAGGUGAAAUUCUUGGAUUUAUUGAAGACUAACUACUGCGAAAGCAUUUGCCAAGGAUGUUUUCAUUAAUCAGGAACGAAAGUUAGGGGAUCGAAGACGAUCAGAUACCGUCGUAGUCUUAACCAUAAACUAUGCCGAUUAGGGAUCGGACGGUGUUAUUUUUUGACCCGUUCGGCACCUUACGAUAAAUCAAAAUGUUUGGGCUCCUGGGGGAGUAUGGUCGCAAGGCUGAAACUUAAAGGAAAUUGACGGAAGGGCACCACCAGGGGGUGGAGCCUGCGGCUUAAUUUGACUCAACACGGGGAAACUCACCAGGUCCAGACACGAUGAGGAUUGACAGAUUGAGAGCUCUUUCUUGAUUUCGUGGGUGGUGGUGCAUGGCCGUUCUUAGUUGGUGGAGUGAUUUGUCUGCUUAAUUGCGAUAACGAACGAGACCUUAAACCUGCUAAAUAGCCCGCAUUGCUUCGGCAGUACGCCGGCUUCUUAGAGGGACUAUCGG